GUCUCAGUGGUGAAACAGGUAUACACAGCAGUUUUAGAAACUGCCUCCACAUGGAAUGUAGGUUCGAAUCCUACCUGAGACA
rnacentral:tRNA from 1 species